rnacentral:rRNA from 1 species
GACGAACGCUGGCGGCGUGCUUAACACAUGCAAGUCGAACGAUGAAGCUGGAGCUUGCUCUAGCGGAUUAGUGGCGAACGGGUGAGUAACACGUGAGCAAUCUGCCCUUGACUCUGGGAUAACUGCGGGAAACUGUAGCUAAUACCGGAUACUUUCACCGGGGGGCAUCCUCUGGUGAUGAAAGAAUUUCGGUCAAGGAUGAGCUGGCGGCAUAUGAGCUUGUUGGUGCGGUAACGGCUCACCAAGGCGACGACGGGUAACCGGCCUGAGAGGGUGACCGGUCACACUGGGACUGAGACACGGCCCAGACUCCUACGGGAGGCAGCAGUGGGGAAUAUUGCACAAUGGGCGCAAGCCUGAUGCAGCAACGCCGCGUGAGGGAUGAAGGCCUUCGGGUUGUAAACCUCUUUUAGCAGGGAAGAAGCGAAAGUGACGGUACCUGCAGAAAAAGCACCGGCUAACUACGUGCCAGCCGCCGCCGUAA